AAGGAUCAUUACUGAAUUUCUGGAGUGUUGUCGCUGGCUUUUCGGAGCAUGUGCACGCACUUCAAAUUCUUCUCAACCACCUGUGCACUUUUGUAGACUAUGAUAACUCUCAAUGAUUUUAUUAUCUAUUGGAUUGAAGGACUUGAGUUUCAGCUGGUCUCUUCAACUUCAUAGUCUACGUCUUAUCUAUAAACAAAGUCUUAGAAUGUCUUUAAUGGGUCUUUUUGACCUAUAAAAACUAAUACAACUUUCAACAACGGAUCUCUUGGCUCUCGCAUCGAUGAAGAACGCAGCGAAAUGCGAUAAGUAAUGUGAAUUGCAGAAUUCAGUGAAUCAUCGAAUCUUUGAACGCACCUUGCACUCCUUGGUAUUCCGAGGAGUAUGCCUGUUUGAGUGUCAUUAAAUUCUCAAACCUCAUUGACUUUAUUGACAAUGAGGCUUUGGAUGUGGGAGUUUGCCGGCUUCUAACGAAGUCAGCUCUCCUUAAAUACAUUAGUGGUUACUGUUCCCCACUAUAUGGUGUGAUAAUUAUCUACGCCUUGGUGGGGUUGUUAAGUGUAGCUGCUCUCUAACUGUCUUUCGAGACAACUUUGAACCAUUUGACCUCAAAUCAGGUAGGACUACCCGCUGAACUUAA
rnacentral:rRNA from 1 species